UACGUAGGGUGCGAGCGUUAAUCGGAAUUACUGGGCGUAAAGCGUGCGCAGGCGGCGCGUUAAGACAGGUGUGAAAGCCCCCGAGCUUUAACUUGGGAAUUGCGCUUGUGACUGGCGGGCUGGAGUGUGGCAGAGGGAGGUGGAAUUCCACGUGUAGCAGUGAAAUGCGUAGAGAUGUGGAGGAACACCGAUGGCGAAGGCAGGUCUCUGGGCAUUAACUGACGCUGAGGAGCGGAAAGCAUGGGGAGCGAACAGGA
rnacentral:rRNA from 1 species